rnacentral:ncRNA from 1 species
AGUAGCACGCUCAAGACCCGAAGCGGAGUGAUCUAGCCAUGGGCAGGUUGAAGCGGAGGUAAGACUUCGUGGAGGACCGAACCCACCAGGGUUGAAAACCUGGGGGAUGACCUGUGGUUAGGGGUGAAAGGCCAAUCAAACUCCGUGAUAGCUGGUUCUCCCCGAAAUGCAUUUAGGUGCAGCGUCGUGUGUUUCUUGCCGGAGGUAGAGCACUGGAUAGGCGAUGGGCCCUACCGGGUUACUGACCUUAGCCAAACUCCGAAUGCCGGUAAGUGAGAGCGCGGCAGUGAGACUGGUGGGGGAUAAGCUCCAUGGUCGAGAGGGAAACAGCCCAGAGCAUCGACUAACGGCCCCUAAGCGUACGCUAAGUGGGAAAGGAUGUGGAGUCGCA